AGGUGGUGUGUGGGGAGGGAUAAGGAAGAAAAUCAGGAAAUGGUAGUUUUCUUUGUCGUUUUAUCUAAAUGAAGCUU
ensembl:miRNA